GCCUACGACCAUAUCACCCUGAAUGCGCCCGAUCUCAUCUGAUCUCGGAAGCUCGGCACGGUCGAGUCUGGUUAGUACUUGCAUGGGAGACUGCCUGGGAAUACCAGGUGUUGUAGGCU
rnacentral:rRNA from 1 species